rnacentral:rRNA from 1 species
GAUGAACGCUGGCGGCGUGCCUAAUACAUGCAAGUCGAGCGAACAGACGAGGAGCUUGCUCCUUCGACGUUAGCGGCGGACGGGUGAGUAACACGUAGGUAACCUACCUAUAAGACUGGGAUAACUUCGGGAAACCGGAGCUAAUACCGGAUAAUAUUUCGAACCGCAUGGUUCGAUAGUGAAAGAUGGCUUUGCUAUCACUUAUAGAUGGACCUGCGCCGUAUUAGCUAGUUGGUAAGGUAACGGCUUACCAAGGCAACGAUACGUAGCCGACCUGAGAGGGUGAUCGGCCACACUGGAACUGAGACACGGUCCAGACUCCUACGGGAGGCAGCAGUAGGGAAUCUUCCGCAAUGGGCGAAAGCCUGACGGAGCAACGCCGCGUGAGUGAUGAAGGUCUUCGGAUCGUAAAACUCUGUUAUUAGGGAAGAACAAACGUGUAAGUAACUGUGCAUGCCUUGACGGUACCUAAUCAGAAAGCCACGGCUAACUACGUG